GAUGAACGCUGACAGAAUGCUUAACACAUGCAAGUCGACUCGAGUCUUCGGACUUGGGUGGCGCACGGGUGAGUAACGCGUAAAGAACUUGCCUCUUAGACCGGGACAACAUCUGGAAACGGAUGCUAAUACCGGAUAUUAUGGUUUUUUCGCAUGGAGGAAUCAUGAAAGCUGGAUGCGCUAAGAGAGAGCUUUGCGUCCCAUUAGCUAGUUGGUGAGGUAACGGCCCACCAAGGCAAUGAUGGGUAGCCGGCCUGAGAGGGUGAACGGCCACAAGGGGACUGAGACACGGCCCUUACUCCUACGGGAGGCAGCAGUGGGGAAUAUUGGACAAUGGACCGCAAGUCUGAUCCAGCAAUUCUGUGUGCACGAUGACGUUUUUCGGAAUGUAAAGUGCUUUCAGUCGGGAAGAAGUCAGUGACGGUACCGACAGAAGAAGCGACGGCUAAAUACGUGCCAGCAGCCGCAGUAAUACGUAUGUCGCAAGCGUUAUCCGGAUUUAUUGGGCGUAAAGCGCGUCUAGGCGGCAAGGAAAGUCUGAUGUGAAAAUGCGGAGCUCAACUCCGUAUGGCGUUGUAAACUGCCUUACUAUAGUACUGUAGAGGUAGGCGGAACUACGAGUGUAGAGGUGAAAUUCGUAUAUAUGUGUAGGAAUGCCGAUGGGGGAAGCCAGCCUACUGGACAGUUACUGACGCAUAAUGCGCGAAAUCGUUGUGUAUCCUACGGAUUAUAUGCCCUGGUAGUCCCAAGGUCGGAUUUCCACUUGGAUAUCGAGCUGUCGGAGCCCGCCCACCCUCGUGUGGUGAACAACAGAACAGCAUAUUUAUGUUCCCUUUUGUGAUGUGUGAAUUAAUUUUUUUUUUGCCCUAUGUGUGUGUAUGUUAUUUACCUGAUGUUCUCUCUGCCCUCGUGGUGCCUGUGUGUGGUGUGUUUUUCUCAUGUUGAUUUUUCUUAUCAUGCAUGCUUUGUAUUGUAUGUAUGAUAGAUGAUGUCUGCUUACUAUGUGCUUGCUUGUGUAUACUUGCUGCAUGCCUCCUCCACCUAGUAAUACCCCUAUGUCCUGAUAAUCCCUAGCCUUCUGCUAUAGUAGCUGUCCUUAUGUUAUUCUGUGUCUAGCUAGUAUGCAAAAUGACCUAUAGUCAGCCCCUAUGAGCUGAGUG
rnacentral:rRNA from 1 species